rnacentral:rRNA from 1 species
UGGGGAAUCUUCCGCAAUAGACGAAAGUCUGACGGAGCAACGCCGCGUGAGUGAUGAAGGCCUUCGGGUUGUAAAACUCUGUUGUCAGGGACGAACGUGCCGAUCUACAAUACAUUUCGGCAGUGACGGUACCUGACGAGGAAGCCACGGCUAACUACGUGCCAGCAGCCGCGGUAAUACGUAGGUGGCAAGCGUUGUCCGGAAUUAUUGGGCGUAAAGAGCAUGUAGGCGGGCUUUUAAGUCCGACGUGAAAAUGCGGGGCUUAACCCCGUAUGGCGUUGGAUACUGGAAGUCUUGAGUGCAGGAGAGGAAAGGGGAAUUCCCAGUGUAGCGGUGAAAUGCGUAGAUAUUGGGAGGAACACCAGUGGCGAAGGCGCCUUUCUGGACUGUGUCUGACGCUGAGAUGCGAAAGCCAGGGUAGCAAACGGG